UACAUGCAAGUCGGACGCUUCUUUUUCCACCGGAGCUUGCUCCACCGGAAAAAGAGGAGUGGCGAACGGGUGAGUAACACGUGGGUAACCUGCCCAUCAGAAGGGGAUAACACUUGGAAACAGGUGCUAAUACCGUAUAACAAUCGAAACCGCAUGGUUUUGAUUUGAAAGGCGCUUUCGGGUGUCGCUGAUGGAUGGACCCGCGGUGCAUUAGCUAGUUGGUGAGGUAACGGCUCACCAAGGCCACGAUGCAUAGCCGACCUGAGAGGGUGAUCGGCCACAUUGGGACUGAGACACGGCCCAAACUCCUACGGGAGGCAGCAGUAGGGAAUCUUCGGCAAUGGACGAAAGUCUGACCGAGCAACGCCGCGUGAGUGAAGAAGGUUUUCGGAUCGUAAAACUCUGUUGUUAGAGAAGAACAAGGAUGAGAGUAACUGUUCAUCCCUUGACGGUAUCUAACCAGAAAGCCACGGCUAACUACGUGCCAGCAGCCGCGGUAAUACGUAGGUGGCAAGCGUUGUCCGGAUUUAUUGGGCGUAAAGCGAGCGCAGGCGGUUUCUUAAGUCUGAUGUGAAAGCCCCCGGCUCAACCGGGGAGGGUCAUUGGAAACUGGGAGACUUGAGUGCAGAAGAGGAGAGUGGAAUUCCAUGUGUAGCGGUGAAAUGCGUAGAUAUAUGGAGGAACACCAGUGGCGAAGGC
rnacentral:rRNA from 1 species